rnacentral:lncRNA from 1 species
AUAUAUUUAAAAGCCGAUAACCGAUAAGCUAAACCGUUAAGAGUAUAUAACCGCCCAAUCCGCCCGAUAAGCAGCCCUAGUUUUUCCCAAACUUAAAACGUAAUGAGAUCUGAUUUGAUUCUGUUUACCUCUUCUUUAACCUAAGUAAAUCACAUUACUGUCCUCAACCCCCCAAAACGUACUUUUACUCCUUUUUUCUCUCUGUCCGAACAGAAGGUUGAUCUCAUUCGACGUCGUAUCCAAACAAAGGUACAGAUCUCCAUCUGAUCAAUUUUUACACACACACACACACACAGUUGUUUGAUGUUUACACUUCUAUGACUGUGUAUUCAUGUGAAUAUAUACUUCUAUGACUGUGUAUUCAUGUGAAUAUAUACAGAUCUGAAUUUUGUUGUCUGUUAUUUCUGGAGUCGUUUUUCCAUUCAUUUUGAUUUUGUUUGUUUCUUCAGAAAAUGGGGUUUUGAAUUUCGAUCGGUGAAAGUGGUACCCAUUUCUGAUCUUCCUUUGUCGCUUUCGAUGAUAGUAGAAAUGUCGAACAUAAAUAAAUGAAGGAAAAUUGGAGAAGUUGGUAACAAUGUGAUCACAUAGCGGAGUGGAUAUCGCGUUAGACUCCGAAUCUAAAGGUCGUGGGUUCGAAUCCCACUGUGAUCACUGCCUUUGUUUUUGCACCUUUGUUUUGU